AUUGAACGCUGGCGGCAGGCUUAACACAUGCAAGUCGAGCGAGCGGCGGACGGGUGAGUAAUGUAUGGGGAUCUGCCUGAUAGAGGGGGAUAACUACUGGAAACGGUAGCUAAUACCGCAUACCAUCGGAUGUACCCAUAUGGGAUUAGCUAGUAGGUGGGGUAAAGGCUCACCUAGGCGACGAUCUCUAGCUGGUCUGAGAGGAUGACCAGCCACACUGGAAUUGAGACACGGCCCAGACUCCUACGGGAGGCAGCAGUGGGGAAUAUUGCACAAUGGGCGCAAGCCUGAUGCAGCCAUGCCGCGUGUAUGAAGAAGGCCUUAGGGUUGUAAAGUACUUUCAGCGGGGAGGCGUUACCCGCAGAAGAAGCACCGGCUAACUCCGUGCCAGCAGCCGCGGUAAUAC
rnacentral:rRNA from 1 species